GUUUCAAUUAAUUAAUAUUAAUAAUAGGUUUAUUUGAGGAGUUGGACGGUCGCCGCGAUCGAGUUAAGGCGUGCUCUGUGUCGCUCUUCGGGUCUCGUCGAGGUUUUAGUGGGGAAAAGGUUUCAAAGGUGAGAAAGUUAUAUAUCAGUGGAUAGAACUAAUCGAGAGGAUUCCAGUAAUGUCUUAGCUUGUUAAAUCGGUUGAGUUUUCGAGGAGUUACGAGCGUUUUUCGGUUUUUUACCGUUUGUUAGAAAAAACACGUGGCGCUAGGCCUAGCGCUAAGCCUAACUUCUUGAACUUUGAGUCUUUUGUUUUAAGUUUUAUAUCGUUGGAUUCCUCUCAUCGAGUGGAAUCUAACGCCGUCUUUUUUUGGAUCUAGCUUAACUAGAUCCGUUUUUAUUAAGGUUUAAAUUUUCAAACUUCUUUGUUUAGUUUUUUUUUUUUAGUUUUUCAAAAAUUUUACGUGGUGACCUCCCAUUUUUUCGACGGAUUUAGACGUGGCUCCUCGUACUCGAUCGAUCGGUACUACAUUUACGCUUUUCCGAUCAGUAGUUUUUUCAAAAAUCGCGAUUUAAAACAUUUCUUGGGCUAUUUUUCGACAUUUUUUUCUUACACCGAGAUCGGUAUCAAUCGACGUAGAAUAACAUUUUACAUCGUUUUCUAUACAUUUUAUAGUAUUUUAAAAAUUUAUUUUGUUAAUUAUUAUCGAUUUUUCGGCACAAUGCCACAAAACACAACAGACACUAUCACAAACAAUCAAUCUGACAAUAAUACCGCAGUCGACAUUAGGGAUGUCGACUGCGGUAUUAUUGCACUUUGAUAAUUGCGUUUCGAACUGCAAUUAUCAAAGUGAAAGAGUUUUUGAAUGAAAGUCAUACUUUUAGCCGAGUGCUGAAGAAACAAUCAUUUAAAGAACUGGACUCGGCCUCUAACAUAUUCGAAGAUCUUCUAGAGGAAUUAUAUAUUCAACAAGAGCAAAAUGAUAGAUUACAGCAAAAAAUUAAGAACCUUGAACAGAAUAAUGCAACCGCUGUAGUACAAACACAAAAACCUACGUAUUCCUAAAUUGUGGCAAGAACCGCUACCUAGCAAGGCUGACAAUGCGGUCUUAGUAUAUCCCUCUAGUGAUAGUGAAAACGUCGAUCCUCAUAAGUUACUUCAGCAAUUACAAAAGGAUGUUAAUCUAAAAGAGAUCAAAGUGGGAAUUAGAAAUACCAAACCCGUCAAAUCUGGCAUUCUAGUGAACUGUUGUACUCAGGAGGGAGCAGAGAGGUUAAAAUCAACUUUAACAACAAUCACAAACUAUGAGGUAAAACAACCGAGAAAACUAAGACCGAAAAUCAUGAUCUCUAGAAUACCUAUUGCUGACAAACCCGAAGAUAUAAUUAACACUCUUCAAUUGUUCAAGACACACCUGGAAGAGGAUACAUUUGAGCAUCCUAAUUUUCAUCUUCGUUUUGUUCUAAGUAAAAAUAAUAAUUAUAACACUUGCACUUGGGUAGUGGAGCUUUCUGCUCGUGCAAGAUAUGAAGUUAAACAAAAUAAUGACCUUCUCUGCCUUGGAUGGCAGACAGUUAAAACAAGAGACUUCCAUAGCUUUAAACGAC
rnacentral:lncRNA from 1 species